GACGAACGCUGGCGGCGUGCUUAACACAUGCAAGUCGAGCGGUAAGGCCCUUUCGGGGGUACACGAGCGGCGAACGGGUGAGUAACACGUGGGUGACCUGCCCUCAGCUCUGGGAUAAGCCUGGGAAACUGGGUCUAAUACUGGAUAUGACUCCACGGUGCAUGUCGUGGGGUGGAAAGCCUUGUGCGGCUGGAGGAGUC
rnacentral:rRNA from 1 species